GUACGCUAUUCAGAGUUUGAUCCUGGCUCAGAACGAACGCUGGCGGCAUGGAUUAGGCAUGCAAGUCGAACGGGGUAGCAAUACCCAGUGGCGGAAGGGUGAGGAACGCGUGAGUAAUCUGCCUCUAAGUUGGGAAUAACAGUUGGAAACGACUGCUAAUACCGAAUGUGGCUUGAGUACCGCAUGGUGCUCUGGCUAAAGAUUUUAUCGCUUAGAGAUGAGCUCGCGUCCCAUUAGCUAGUUGGUGAGGUAACGGCUCACCAAGGCAAUGAUGGGUAGCUGGUCUGAGAGGAUGGUCAGCCACACUGGAACUGAGACACUGUCCAG
rnacentral:rRNA from 1 species